AAGUCGUAACAAGGUCUCCGUUGGUGAACCAGCGGGGGGAUCAUUACCGAGUUUACAACUCCCAAACCCCUGUGAACAUACCACUUGUUGCCUCGGCGGAUCAGCCCGCUCCCGGUAAAACGGGACGGCCCGCCAGAGGACCCAAAACCCUGAAUUAUUAGUGUCGUCUGAGUAAAAUAUUUAAUAUUUAAAACUUUCAACAACGGAUCUAUUGGCUCUG
rnacentral:misc_RNA from 1 species